UGAAAACGAUCAAGUAGAUCUAAGCCGACCUAAGGAGUAAAAGAACAGGGAAUGGGAAUGGAUAGAGAAAUACCAACAUGGUCAAAUGACUUACUAAUGUGGGCAAUUUGGGUUUUAUUUCAGAACCCAUGGUAGAGAUUUCAAACCCCUUCCUUCAAGUUUGCAGGUUCAAAACUCCUUCCUAGAAAACGUAACUUCUUUGGCUAUGGAGAAAAGAGAUAUGAAUUUGACUGAUGGG
rnacentral:lncRNA from 1 species